rnacentral:rRNA from 3 species
GAAGGUGUGUCGUGAGGCAUGCUGGAGGUAUCAGAAGUGCGAAUGCUGACAUAAGUAACGAUAAAGCGGGUGAAAAGCCCGCUCGCCGGAAGACCAAGGGUUCCUGUCCAACGUUAAUCGGGGCAGGGUGAGUCGACCCCUAAGGCGAGGCCGAAAGGCGUAGUCGAUGGGAAACGGGUUAAUAUUCCCGUACUUGGUGUUACUGCGAAGGGGGGACGGAGAAGGCUAUGUUGGCCGGGCGACGGUUGUCCCGGUUUAAGUGUGUAGGUGUGUGUUCCAGGUAAAUCCGGUUCACUUUAACACUGAGGCGUGACGACGAGGCACUACGGUGCUGAAGCAACAAAUGCCCUGCUUCCAGGAAAAGCCUCUAAGCAUCAGGUAACAUCAAAUCGUACCCCAAACCGACACAGGUGGUCAGGUAGAGAAUACCAAGGCGCUUGAGAGAACUCGGGUGAAGGAACUAGGCAAAAUGGUGCCGUAACUUCGGGAGAAGGCACGCUGACACGUAGGUGAAGUGAUUUACUCAUGGAGCUGAAGUCAGUCGAAGAUACCAGCUGGCUGCAACUGUUUAUUAAAAACACAGCACUGUGCAAACACGAAAGUGGACGUAUACGGUGUGACGCCUGCCCGGUGCCGGAAGGUUAAUUGAUGGGGUCAGCGCAAGCGAAGCUCCUGAUCGAAGCCCCGGUAAACGGCGGCCGUAACUAUAACGGUCCUAAGGUAGCGAAAUUCCUUGUCGGGUAAGUUCCGACCUGCACGAAUGGCGUAAUGAUGGCCAGGCUGUCUCCACCCGAGACUCAGUGAAAUUGAACUCGCUGUGAAGAUGCAGUGUACCCGCGGCAAGACGGAAAGACCCCGUGAACCUUUACUAUAGCUUGACACUGAACAUUGAGCCUUGAUGUGUAGGAUAGGUGGGAGGCUUUGAAGUGUGGACGCCAGUCUGCAUGGAGCCGACCUUGAAAUACCACCCUUUAAUGUUUGAUGUUCUAACGUGGACCCGUUACCCGGGUUGCGGACAGUGUCUGGUGGGUAGUUUGACUGGGGCGGUCUCCUCCUAAAGAGUAACGGAGGAGCACGAAGGUUGGCUAAUCCUGGUCGGACAUCAGGAGGUUAGUGCAAUGGCAUAAGCCAGCUUGACUGCGAGCGUGACGGCGCGAGCAGGUGCGAAAGCAGGUCAUAGUGAUCCGGUGGUUCUGAAUGGAAGGGCCAUCGCUCAACGGAUAAAAGGUACUCCGGGGAUAACAGGCUGAUACCGCCCAAGAGUUCAUAUCGACGGCGGUGUUUGGCACCUCGAUGUCGGCUCAUCACAUCCUGGGGCUGAAGUAGGUCCCAAGGGUAUGGCUGUUCGCCAUUUAAAGUGGUACGCGAGCUGGGUUUAGAACGUCGUGAGACAGUUCGGUCCCUAUCUGCCGUGGGCGCUGGAGAACUGAGGGGGGCUGCUCCUAGUACGAGAGGACCGGAGUGGACGCAUCACUGGUGUUCGGGUUGUCAUGCCAAUGGCACUGCCCGGUAGCUAAAUGCGGAAGAGAUAAGUGCUGAAAGCAUCUAAGCACGAAACUUGCCCCGA